GGAAUACGAUGCUACAGAGGGGCAUGACUCGACCUCGGAGUUUGAUGAGGUAGAGGAAAAAGAGGAAAUCGAUACUAGCGAGGAGGAUGAAGAAGAUACAGAGUUGGACGA